GUUUCAGUAAGUGUUUUACGUGGUCUCAAAUCUCAAAUUAUUGACUACGAGAUUGACUACGAUGACUCUAAAGUCUCAGUUUGCCAACGAGCACAAGGUGACCCUGUGUCAUUCAACAAUCUACAGACCUGCCUCGUACCCAGGCUCUUUGGUUUGUGUCUCACGUCAAAUGGAUCUACACAAGUCAUAUCACAUAUGGCUGUAGAAUUUGACUUUCAAGUUUCAAUAGUUUUGAACUCACAUUCAAUAUAUAUAUUUCAAAAACUCAUUAAUAAUUCAGGAGGAAAACACAAAGAAAAAUCAUAUAAGCGUG